rnacentral:rRNA from 1 species
GAGAGUUUGAUCCUGGCUCAGGAUGAACGCUGGCGGCGUGCUUAACACAUGCAAGUCGAACGAAGCACCUUAGACAGAAGCCUUCGGGCGGAAGACUUUGGUGACUUAGUGGCGGACGGGUGAGUAACGCGUGGGUAACCUGCCCUGUACCGGGGGACAACAGUUGGAAACGACUGCUAAUACCGCAUAAGCGCACAGCAUCGCAUGAUGCAGUGUGAAAAACUCCGGUGGUACAGGAUGGACCCGCGUCUGAUUAGCUAGUUGGUGAGGUAACGGCUUACCAAGGCAACGAUCAGUAGCCGACUUGAGAGAGUGAUCGGCCACAUUGGGACUGAGACACGGCCCAAACUCCUACGGGAGGCAGCAGUGGGGAAUAUUGCACAAUGGGGGAAACCCUGAUGCAGCGACGCCGCGUGAAGGAAGAAGUAUUUCGGUAUGUAAACUUCUAUCAGCAAGGAAGAAAAUGACGGUACUUGACUAAGAAGCCCCGGCUAAAUACGUGCCAGCAGCCGCGGUAAUACGUAUGGGGCAAGCGUUAUCCGGAUUUACUGGGUGUAAAGGGAGCGUAGGCGGUAAGACAAGUCAGAAGUGAAAGGCUGGGGCUCAACCCUGGGACUGCUUUUGAAACUGUCUAACUAGAGUGCAGGAGAGGUAAGUGGAAUUCCUAGUGUAGCGGUGGAAUGCGUAGAUAUCGGGAGGAACACCAGUGGCGAAGGCGGCCUACUGGGCACCAACUGACGCUGAGGCUCGAAAGUGUGGGUAGCAAACAGGAUUAGAUACCCUGGUAGUCCACACCGUAAACGAUGAUUACUAGGUGUUGGAGGAUUGACCCCUUCAGUGCCGCAGUUAACACAAUAAGUAAUCCACCUGGGGAGUACGACCGCAAGGUUGAAACUCAAAGGAAUUGACGGGGGCCCGCACAAGCAGUGGAGUAUGUGGUUUAAUUCGACGCAACGCGAAGAACCUUACCAAGUCUUGACAUCCUGCGACAUGCAUAGAAAUAUGUUUUUCCUUCGGGACGCAGAGACAGGUGGUGCAUGGUUGUCGUCAGCUCGUGUCGUGAGAUGUUGGGUUAAGUCCCGCAACGAGCGCAACCCUUACUGUCAGUUACUACGCAAGAGGACUCUGGCAGGACUGCCGUUGACAAAACGGAGGAAGGUGGGGAUGACGUCAAAUCAUCAUGCCCUUUAUGACUUGGGCUACACACGUACUACAAUGGCGUUAAACAAAGAGAAGCAAGACCGCGAGGUGGAGCAAAACUCAGAAACAACGUCCCAGUUCGGACUGCAGGCUGCAACUCGCCUGCACGAAGUCGGAAUUGCUAGUAAUCGUGGAUCAGCAUGCCACGGUGAAUACGUUCCCGGGCCUUGUACACACCGCCCGUCACACCAUGAGAGCCGGGGGGACCCGAAGUCGGUAGUCUAACCGCAAGGAGGACGCCGCCGAAGGUAAAACUGGUGAUUGGGGUGAAGUCGUAACAAGGUAGCCG